rnacentral:sRNA from 1 species
GUUCUGCUGGCAUUUCGUCGGGAUGAAGACAGCACAGCCAGGAAAUCCAGAGGUUGGCCUUGAUAACUUAGAGUUCUAACAAGGGCAGCACUGAUAGUCCUGGCCUUGAACCGGGGCAUUGCUGCUGUCAAGGAGGAUGCAGUCGAGAUGCUGGCCAGCUACGGGCUGGCGUACUCCCUCAUGAAGUUCUUCACGGGUCCCAUGAGUGACUUCAAAAAUGUGGGCCUGGUGUUUGUGAACAGCAAGAGAGACAGGACCAAAGCCGUCCUGUGUAUGGUGGUGGCAGG